rnacentral:rRNA from 1 species
GACGAACGCUGGCGGCGUGCUUAACACAUGCAAGUCGAACGGAAAGGCCCUGCUUUUGUGGGGUGCUCGAGUGGCGAACGGGUGAGUAACACGUGAGUAACCUGCCCUUGACUUUGGGAUAACUUCAGGAAACUGGGGCUAAUACCGGAUAGGAGCUCCUGCUGCAUGGUGGGGGUUGGAAAGUUUCGGCGGUUGGGGAUGGACUGGCGGCUUAUCAGCUUGUUGGUGGGGUAGUGGCUUACCAAGGCUUUGACGGAUAGCCGGCCUGAGAGGGUGACCGGCCACAUUGGGACUGAGAGACGGCGCAGACUCCUACGGGAGGCAGCAGUGGGGAAUAUUGCACAAUGGGCGGAAGCCUGAUGCAGCAACGCCGCGUGCGGGAUGACGGCCUUCGGGUUGUAAACCGCUUUCGCCUGUGACGAAGCGUGAGUGACGGUAAUGGGUAAAGAAGCACCGGCUAACUACGUG